rnacentral:misc_RNA from 1 species
GAUGAAGAACGUAGCGAAAUGCGAUAAGUAAUGUGAAUUGCAGAAUUCAGUGAAUCAUCGAAUCUUUGAACGCACAUUGCGCCCCCCGGUAUUCUGGCGGGCAUGCCUGUUCGAGCGUCAUUUCAACCAUCAAGCCCUGUUUAGGCUUGUGUUGGGGCCCUGCGGCUGCCGCAGCCCCCUAAAUGCAGUGGCGGGCUCGUUGUCACUCCGAGCGCAGUAGCGUAUCUCGCUCUGGGCGUGGCGGCGGGUGCUAGCCGUGAAACACCCACUAAGGUUGACCUCGGAUCAGGUAGGAAUACCCGCUGAACUUAAGCAUAUCAAUAAGCGGAGGA